GGUGAUAUGGCCGAGUUGGUUAAGGCGUGGGUCUCAAGUUCCCAUCUCGAAAGAGGCAGGAGUUCGAAUCUCCUUGCCUCCA